rnacentral:rRNA from 1 species
CCUACGGGGGGCAGCAGUGGGGAAUAUUGCACAAUGGGCGAAAGCCUGAUGCAGCAACGCCGCGUGAAGGAAGAAGGCUUUCGGGUUGUAAACUUCUUUUCUCAGGGACGAAGCAAGUGACGGUACCUGAGGAAUAAGCCACGGCUAACUACGUGCCAGCAGCCGCGGUAAUACGUAGGUGGCAAGCGUUAUCCGGAUUUACUGGGUGUAAAGGGCGUGUAGGCGGGAAAGCAAGUCAGAUGUGAAAACUAUGGGCUCAACCCAUAGCCUGCAUUUGAAACUGUAUUUCUUGAGUGCUGGAGAGG